rnacentral:rRNA from 1 species
AAGGUAUGCNAGUCGAACGAUCCCUUUGAAUUACUUGAAACUUCGGUUGAUUGUAUUUCUUUUUGGGAUAGUGGCAAACGGGUGAGUAACACGUGGAUAACCUGCCUUAAAGUCAUGAACAGCUCAUCGAAAGAUGGGAUAAUACAUGAUGGUCUUACAAUUUCUAUCCGACUUUGUAAGUAAAGCUCCGGCGCUUUAAGAGGGGUCCGCGUCCUAUCAGCUUGUUGGUGAGGUAAUAGCUCACCAAGGCUAAGACGGGUAGCUGGCGUGAGAGCGCGGUCAGCCACCAUGGAACUGAGACACGGUCCAUACUCCUACGGGAGGCAGCAAUUAGGAAUCUUGCGCAAUGGGGGCAACCCUGACGCAGCGACACAGCGUGGAGGACGAAGGUCUUCGGAUUGUAAACUCCUUUUAUAUGGGAAGAAUAGAUGACGGUACCAUAUGAAUAAGCACCUGCUAACUACGUGCCAGAAGCAUCGGUGAUACGUAGGGUGCGAACGUUAUCCGGAUUUAUUGGGCGUAUAGAGAUGCGUAGGCGUUUCUGUAAGUCUGAAGUUAAAGCCCACGGCUUAACCGUGGAAAAGCUUUGGAAACUGCAGAAAUUGAGACAGGAAGAGGCGAAUGGAAUUCCCAGUGGAGCGGUGAAAUGCGUUGAUAUUGGGAGGAACAUCAGUGGCGAAGGCGAUUCGCUGGUCCUUGUCUGACGCUGAGGCUCGAAAGCGUGGGUAGCAAAACGGAUUAGAUACCCGUGUAGUCCACGCCGUAAACUAUGGAUGCUAGGUGUUCGGUACAACCGUUUUUUCCUUCGGGAAAAAAUGGAAGUAUUGAGUGCCGCAGCUAACGCGUUAAGCAUCCCGCCUGGGAAGUACGGCCGCAAGGNUAA